rnacentral:rRNA from 1 species
GGCUCAGUAACACGUGGAUAACUUGCCCUUGGGUCUGGGAUAACCCUGAGAAAUUGGGGACAAUACCAGAUAGGGCAUCGAAGCUGGAAUGCACGAUGUCCAAAAGCUGAGGCGCCCAAGGAUAGGUCUGCGGCCGAUUAGGUUGUUGUUGAUGUAAUGGACCAACAAGCCUGCAAUCGGUACGGGUUGUGAGAGCAAGAGCCCGGAGAUGGGUUCUGAGAAAAGAACCCAGGUCCUACGGGACGCAUCAGGCGCGAAAACUUUACAAUGUGCGAAAGCACGAUAAGGGAACUCUGAGUGCCUCCUAUGGACUGUUCAGGUGUCUAAAAAGCACUUGAAGUAAGGGCUGGGUAAGACCGGUGCCACCGCCGCGGUAACACCGGCAGCCCAAGUGGUAGCCACGAUUAUUGGUCUAAWKCGUCCGKAGCCGGCCAGGUAAGUCCUKGGAAAUUUWUGSHAAGGGAACNUUCAGGGAUWCUKCCUGCCUGGACCGGGAGADGUCAGAGUGUACYYAAGGGUAGGGGUGAAAUCCGGUAAUCCUUGAGGGACCACCAGUAGCGAAGGCGUCUGACAGACCGGGUCCGACGGUGAKGGACGAAUGGCUAUGGG